UACAGAGGUCUCAAGCGUUGUUCGGAUUCAUUGGGCGUAAAGGGUGCGUAGGCGGCGCGGUAAGUCGGGUGUGAAAUCUCGGAGCUUAACUCCGAAACUGCAUUCGAUACUGCCGUGCUUGAGGACUGGAGAGGAGACUGGAAUUUACGGUGUAGCGGUGAAAUGCGCAGAUAUCAGGAGGAACACCGGUGGCGAAGGCGGUUCUCUGGGCAUUACCUGACGCUGAGGAGCGAAAGCGUGGGGAGCAAACAGG
rnacentral:rRNA from 1 species